GUUACAGCCUUGCUGAAUUAUUCACCCUUGUCUUUUGCGUACUUCUUGUUUCCUUGGUGGGUUCGCCCACCACUAGGACAAACAUAAACCUUUUGUAAUUGCAAUCAGCGUCAGUAACAAAUUAAUAAUUACAACUUUCAACAACGGAUCUCUUGGUUCUGGCAUCGAUGAAGAACGCAGCGAAAUGCGAUAAGUAGUGUGAAUUGCAGAAUUCAGUGAAUCAUCGAAUCUUUGAACGCACAUUGCGCCCUUUGGUAUUCCAAAGGGCAUGCCUGUUCGAGCGUCAUUUGUACCCUCAAGCUUUGCUUGGUGUUGGGCGUCUUGUCUCUAGCUUUGCUGGAGACUCGCCUUAAAGUAAUUGGCAGCCGGCCUACUGGUUUCGGAGCGCAGCACAAGUCGCACUCUCUAUCAGCAAAGGUCUAGCAUCCAUUAAGCCUUUUUUUCAACUUUUGACCUCGGAUCAGGUAGGGAUACCCGCUGAACUUA
rnacentral:rRNA from 1 species